rfam:Oryza glumipatula chromosome 7, whole genome shotgun sequence.
AAUAAAUAUAGUUUUACACUAUUCACGUUCAACAUUUAACCAUUCGUCUUAUUUGAAAUUUUUUUAUGAUCAGUAUUUUUAUUGCUAUUAGAUAAUAAAAUAUAAAUAGUACACUAUGUGUGACUGAAUAUUUUUAAAUGUUUCAUAAAUUUUUGAAAUAAGAUAGACGGUCAAACGUUAGACACGGAUAUCCACAGGUGCACUUGUU